rnacentral:rRNA from 1 species
UACGUAGGGGGCAAGCGUUGUCCGGAUUUAUUGGGCGUAAAGCGCUCGCAGGUGGUUCGUCGCGUCGUGCGUGAAAGACCCCGGCUCAACUGGGGAGUGUCGUGCGAUACGGGCGGACUGGAGGCCAGUAGGGGGAUGCGGAAUUCCGGGUGUAGUGGUGGAAUGCGUAGAGAUCCGGAGGAACACCAGCGGCGAAGGCGGCAUCCUGGACUGGUCCUGACACUCAGGAGCAAAAGCGUGGGGAGCGAUCCGG